GGACGCUUUGUUUCAGAGCAGAAAGCGGCCGGAGGAAACGUGGACAUGCUGAGCUGCAGAAAGCUUCACGGAGUUUAUUGACGUAGAGAUGGAUCCGGUUCUAAACCUGGAAGUUCGGGUUCUGCUCCACAGAACAGACGUUCAACAGCAGCAUGUCUGCAAACAGGAGAGGGUUCUGAAACAGGAGGAACCAGAACCUCCGGAUAUUAAAGAGGAGCAGGACGAGCAGAACCGGACUCCUACGGACGAACAGGGAAAACCAAACAAGUGCCAACGGGACGUUAUCUUGGAUACUCGUCAUAUAAAACAGGAGAAUAUUUCCAGACCGGACCAGGAGGAACCAGAACCUCCACAGAUCAAAGAGGAAGAGAAGAAUCCACGCCACAGUCAGGCCGAAAACCAGCUUGAACUGAACCAGGAGACCAAGGCUGUUAGUUUGACCUCUGCUAACGAGGAACAACACCAAAGUGAAUCCGAACCAAACCGGAACCAGCUCAGAAGAACCAGCAGUGAAGCAGACACCUCACCCGUCUCAGGGAGUCGGAGCGACACAGGAUCUGAUCAGAAACCUUUGCAGUGUUCCCACUGUGGGAAAACGUUUGUGUGUAGAGCCAAACUGACGGCUCACACACGAGUUCACACCGGAGAGAAGCCGUUUGUUUGUAAAAUGUGUGGGAAAAGAUUCAGAACCAACGAUUGCUUAAAGCGACAUGUGCUAAUCCACACAGGUGAGAAACCUUGGAUUUGUGAGAUCUGUGGGAAUAGAUUCAGUCAGAGCUACUACCUAUCAGUUCACACCAGAACCCACACCGGAGAGAAACCGUACCACUGUGAGGUGUGUGGGAAAAGUUUCCCCAGCAACUCCGCCUUGCGCAGUCACACCAGUGUCCACACGGCGGAGAGGCCACAUGUGUGUGAAGAAUGUGGGAAAAGCUUUGGACGGAAGGGAACAUUAGACAAACACAGGAGAACCCACACCGGAGAGAAACCGUAUUUCUGUGAGACGUGUGGAAAACUUUUCAGAGACAACUACACGUUAUCGCAGCACAUAAAAAUCCACGCGAGGUAAUAAAACAGAGUUGCCAUGGUGACCACGUGAAAAGUCCGACUGCGGUCGGCCGGCAUGUCAUGAAAGUUUCAAACUCAACACCGAUACCAAGAAAUGAAUAAUUUUAAAAACGUUCUUAGUUUAUUACCCACAGCAAACACCGGUUUGUUUCUUUGCUUCUCUAUUUAGCAGCAGCUGGGCUGUCGGCUGAUUAACAUCUUCUGCAUUAAAUGGCAGCAUUAACUGGAGUUUGACCCCCACACCAGGGGGUCAAACUCCAGUCCUGGAGGUCCGAUGUCCUGCAGCCUUUAGAUGAGCCUCUGCUGCAGCACCUGAACAGAAUACUGAGGUCAUUAAGGUUCUGGAGAACCGAUCCACACAGGAGGAGGUCAUGAAGCCGUUUCAUUCCAGGGUUUUGUGGAUCAUCUAAAACCUGCAGCACAGUGACUGGAGGACUGGAGUCUGACUCCUGUACCAAAACCCAUUUCAGGAGCAAAAUGAGAUAAAAACAUAAAUACAGUAUCAAAGGUUAUUAUAGAAUAUGUGAUGUAAAAACUAAACUGGAGCUGAAUGGUUCUAGUGCCGAGUACAGAUAUUUGAAUGUCCUUCCUGUAAAUAUUUUCCAUAAUAAUGUUAACUAAGGUCACAUUUUCAGUUCCAAAUCCAACAGCCUGAUUUGUUAAACAAAUUUUUGUCGCUGAAACGAUCAUAUCCUCCUCCACCUGUGAUGUUGUGCAUUUAAUGGACUCUUUAUACAACAGCUUCCGUUUGGGAAAAGCGGCUCGGUCGUUUUCAGUCUGUUGAAAAUGUGAUUUUACACUCGGUGCUUGCAGGGCUUAGCCAAGGUAACAAUUAGUGAUGAACGUCGAUCCGAAGCUCUGACAAGUAAUCUGGAGAAAAGUUUUAAGAAGUUCGCCUCGUUAUACGUUCACAGACACGAAGGGAGCAGCCAGCAGAGGGAGCAGCAGAGCCGACGGCACCCGGUUCUGCCCGGUUCUUCCGGGUUCUGCCCGUUCUGGGUUCCACUCACCUGGUGGAUGACGUAGAUGCCGUAGCUGAGCUG